rnacentral:rRNA from 1 species
GUGGGGAAUCUUGCGCAAUGGGCGAAAGCCUGACGCAGCCAUGCCGCGUGGAUGAUGAAGGUCUUAGGAUUGUAAAAUCCUUUCACCGGUGAAGAUAAUGACUGUAGCCGGAGAAGAAGCCCCGGCUAACUUCGUGCCAGCAGCCGCGGUAAUACGACGGGGGCUAGCGUUGCUCGGAUUUACUGGGCGUAAAGGGCGCGUAGGCGGACAUUUAAGUCAGGGGUGAAAUCCCGGGGCUCAACCUCGGAACUGCCUUUGAUACUGGGUGUCUUGAGUAUGAGAGAGGUGUGUGGAACUCCGAGUGUAGAGGUGAAAUUCGUAGAUAUUCGGAAGAACACCAGUGGCGAAGGCGACACACUGGCUCAUUACUGACGCUGAGGCGCGAAAGCGUGGGGAGCAAACAGGAUUAGAAACCCGGGUAGUCC